rnacentral:rRNA from 1 species
GACGAACGCUGGCGGCGUGCCUAAUACAUGCAAGUAGAACGCUGAAGAGAGGAGCUUGCUCUUCUUGGAUGAGUUGCGAACGGGUGAGUAACGCGUAGGUAACCUGCCUUGUAGCGGGGGAUAACUAUUGGAAACGAUAGCUAAUACCGCAUAACAAUGGAUGACACAUGUCAUUUAUUUGAAAGGGGCAAUUGCUCCACUACAAGAUGGACCUGCGUUGUAUUAGCUAGUAGGUGAGGUAACGGCUCACCUAGGCGACGAUACAUAGCCGACCUGAGAGGGUGAUCGGCCACACUGGGACUGAGACACGGCCCAGACUCCUACGGGAGGCAGCAGUAGGGAAUCUUCGGCAAUGGGGGCAACCCUGACCGAGCAACGCCGCGUGAGUGAAGAAGGUUUUCGGAUCGUAAAGCUCUGUUGUAAGUCAAGAACGAGUGUGAGAGUGGAAAGUUCACACUGUGACGGUAGCGUACCAGAAAGGGACGGCUAACUACGU